CCUUACAGGGAGAGGUUGCGGAGGCCGUUCUGUCGGGUAACGGUGGGCAUUUGGGAAGGUCUGGCAUCUGUGUCAGCCAGUCAGGGAUAGGCUCUACAAGGUCCCUUGGAACUAAAUCUUGAAGGAAAAAAAGCCAGGCACACAAAGCAAAACAACAACAACAACAACAACAACAAAAAACACCAAAAACCCACGUGAGCCAAAGUGCAGAGGUGAAGACGGGGAGUGAACAGGUGACGCUGUGGGCACUGGGGUGGCCUAGAGGAGUGAUCCAGGAGACUGUGGACGAGACGCUGCUUCAGAGCAAGCAAUGGAACAGUGUGAGCCAGCAUCGUCGAGCAGAGUGAAGGGGCAAAGCCUGUCAGCCUGGCGACCAGCACACCGGGGGUGACACCCUCCAGGAAGCUCUGCUGUGAAGCCUUGAUUCCAGAAGUUAAACUUUCUUCUGCGGGUAACAGCGAGCCAGUGCCCACUUUAUAAUGGACUAGGCAGACUGGGAUGGGAUCAAAGUUGAGUGUUUUUUAAAAUAAAUCUUGGCGUUGUCUCA